UACGAAGGGGGCUAGCGUUGUUCGGAAUCACUGGGCGUAAAGGGCGCGUAGGCGGCCGAUCAAGUCGGGGGUGAAAGCCUGUGGCUCAACCACAGAAUUGCCUUCGAUACUGUUUGGCUUGAGACCGGAAGAGGUAAGUGGAACUGCGAGUGUAGAGGUGAAAUUCGUAGAUAUUCGCAAGAACACCAGUGGCGAAGGCGGCUUUCUGGACAGUAACUGACGCUGAGGCGCGAAAGCUAGGGGAGCAAACAGG
rnacentral:rRNA from 1 species